AUUGAACGCUGGCGGCAGGCUUAACACAUGCAAGUCGAGCGGGGAAGGUUGCUUCGGUAACUGACCUAGCGGCGGACGGGUGAGUAAUGCUUAGGAAUCUGCCAUUUAGAGGGGACAACAUUCCGAAAGGAAUGCUAAUACCGCAUACGUCCUACGGGAGAAAGCAGGGGAUCUUCGGACCUUGCGCUAAAUGAUGAGCCUAAGUCGGAUGAGCUAGUUGGUGGGGUAAAGGCCUACCAAGGCGACGAUCUGUAGCGGGUCUGAGAGGAUGAUCCGCCACACUGGGACUGAGACACGGCCCAGACUCCUACGGGAGGCAGCAGUGGGGAAUAUUGGACAAUGGGCGGAAGCCUGAUCCAGCCAUGCCACGUGUGUGAAGAAGGCCUUUUGGUUGUAAAGCACUUUAAGCGAGGAGGAGGCUACUAGUACUAAUACUACUGGAUAGUGGACGUUACUCGCAGAAUAAGCACCGGCUAACUCUGUGCCAGCCGCCGCGGUAACAC
rnacentral:rRNA from 1 species